GACGAACGCUGGCGGCGUGCUUAACACAUGCAAGUCGAACGGUGAAGCGCCUUCCUUUUGGUGGGUGUGGAUGAGUGGCGAACGGGUGAGUAACACGUGAGUAACCUGCCCCCUUCUUCUGGAUAACCGCAUGAAAGUGUGGCUAAUACGGGAUAUUCUGGGUCUGUCGCAUGAUGGGUCUGGGAAAGAUAUUGUUUCGGUGGGGGAUGGGCUCGCGGCCUAUCAGCUUGUUGGUGGGGUGAUGGCCUACCAAGGCGGUGACGGGUAGCCGGCCUGAGGGGGUGGACGGUCACACUGGGACUGAGACACGGCCCAGACUCCUACGGGAGGCAGCAGUGGGGAAUAUUGCACAAUGGGCGCAAGCCUGAUGCAGCGACGCCGCGGGAGGGAUGGAGGCCUUCGGGUUGUGAACCUCUUUCGCCAGUGAAGCAGGCCUGCCUCGUUUGUGGGUGGGUUGACGGUAGCUGGAGAAGAAGCGCCGGCUAACUACGUG
rnacentral:rRNA from 1 species